rnacentral:lncRNA from 1 species
AUUUUACAAGUAUUAGCAAAGUAACUGUAAUCAAAUUAUUCUCUUUUUUGAUAUGUAGAAACUUAAAAAGAGGUAACAGCAAAAUUUUCUAGGACAGUGUGAAUCAGUCUUCCUCUGAAUUAAAAAGAUCAGGUGAGUUAUCUUACUAUGUGACCAAGCUGAUAGAAGGAAGCAAAUGGCUUUUAUUGCUCCUACCUUUGUAAGAAUCUCUUUUUUAAUUUGUUGAAAAGGGGUUGUUUUAUUCCUUUCAUCAUGGGAGUGAAUGAACUCAGGACUCAAACAUACUUUCUCUCUCUCUGCAUCCUCUUCCUGUGUCCCUGCUAGAUUCAGCAUGACUCAUCAUUCAGCAUUGACUAUCGCAUGAUGCAAGAAAAUGUCUACUAUACCUGCUGGAAGAUACUACAAAGGUUCCUGGACUACACAAACAACUCCAGUAUGAUGGAAUUAUAUUCUACUCCAUAUUUGUCCAAUUCAAUUGGUUUGACAAUUUCUAUUGGCGUAACUAAGUUUUUUAAAAAUGUAGAUAACUUGUAGCCCCGAAAACAGGGAAUACAAAUUCCUUAUGAACUUUUAUCUACUAAUGUGAGAUGAUUUUACGGAUAAUAUAUUGGUGACAAAAAAAUUAGAGGCA